CUUGGUAUGUGCUAGGUGUUCAGUGAAGAUUUGCUGAGAGGAAAAUAUGAAAAGUAGAACCCAGUGUCAACCUAGGGGGCCCUUCUGUGGUGCCCCUCUUAGUUUGCCACCUGCCUCCUCAUGGAGGCAUCUUUCUAUCACUCAAGAGCCCUCUCCAGCACGACCACAUUCAAAUUCCAGCCCUAAAAAGGCCAUGAAAGGAAGGUAUACCUUUCCUCUAGGGGCAAGGUCUCCUUACUGAGUUGCAUGUUUUCUAGUUAUCAGCUACCUCUUCCAGGAGAGACCUCUGCUCCUACCCAAGGAGGGGACUUAAUGUGACAAACAUUUCAGAGAAGAAGUAAUGAGCCUAGUCUUGUACAAGAGAAAGACACAGCCAACUGGGCAGAUGUGGAGGUGGGUUAUGAUUGCUUGCAAGGGAACAAAGCAUUGCCUCUGGUCUAAGUCUGAAUGCAGUGAGUAGCCUAAGAGAAAUAAGAGCAAUUUGGGAGAAAAGAGCUUGGUUUGCAUCCAUAAGGGCUUUGUAGGAGACACCCUCAUGGUAAGUAAGCUGCACAUAAGAGCUUUGACUGCCAUUGUAAGAAGUUUGACCUUUAAGCAGUAGGUAAUGGGGAGUCUUAUGAAGAGUAUUUGAGCAGGGGACACCAUGAUUGGAGCUUGGUUCUAGGGAAACUCAUCUGGCUAAAGUGUACAGGACCAAGUGAAGAAGAAAUACGGAGGAGGCCAGGAGAUGGUCAGUUCCAUGUCACAGUGAAAUUGUCCAGAAGAGGGAUGACUAAGAGAAAGGUGAAGGAGACUGAAACAGAAUGAGUGGGACUGGAUCGAUGAGAGUGUAGAGGUGAAGUCAACAGAGGCCUGGGGGCGCAGGACUCUAGGGCAUGCUGAGAACAGGCUGGGCUGUCUGAGAGGAGUAGGAAGACCUGGCGGUGAGGACUAAUACAUGGCGGCAGAGAAGAUCCCUCAUCUCUAAGUCCAUGGGUCUCUCCUUAGUCCUCCUCUUCUUUGGGCAUGGAAAACUCAUCUCAAGUCCAUGGGUCUCUCCUUAGUCCUCCUCUUCUUUGGGCAUGGAAAACUCAUCUCAAGUCCAUGGGUUUCUCCUUAGUCCUGCUCCUUCUUGGCAUAGAUGCCUGAUCUCCAAGUCCAUGAGUCUGUCUUUAGUCCUCCUCCUCCCUGGGCAUAGACUCCACAUCUCUAAGUCCAUGGGUCCCUCCCUAGUCUUUCUCCUUGAACAUGCACAACACUUGAGGGCUCUCUCUUUAGCUCCCCUACUUGACUUCCAUUUCCCUGCUUUCUGCUGGCCUCCCACCUCUAUGACUACCUUCUCUGGCCCUUCACCAGCUUCAGCUCCUUUCCGGGCCACCUAAGUAUGGCUGCUUGGAAAGGUUCUGCCGCUGGGGAUCCUGUCUCUCCACACCCCCUUGGUGCUGAUCUGCCCUCCUCUGGAAGAUGAUUCUUAGAUAUGGGGCUGUAGCACCCCGAUUCUUCUCCUGAACUCCAGAUUUCAAUGUCCAGUGGCCUGCUGGAGAUCUCUUGGAUCUCAACUUGUCCUCCAUUCUUAAGAGACUAUCCCCCCUUGCUGCCAGAGGCUUACCGUCUUAAUCUUCUUAACAGGGUGGUGCUGUGCUCUUUGCAGAACUUUGUUCCCAUUGGAAUGUCUUCCUUUCCUGCCACCUCCUCUCUGCUCAUUCAAGUCCCCUUUUCAGGCUGCCUUGAAGAUAGCAUUUACUACCACAUUGUGGAGCUCCUCCUAAUUUGCCUGUCUAUGUGAUCUUUCUUUCCUCUUUGUCAGUAUCUACAGCCUCUUUGACAGGCCUCCAACCUGCCAUGGCUGACCUCACUUUGCAUUUUUGCUGCCUUCUGCCCAGAAUUAUGUGCCCAGUGAGGGCAGAGACUGUGGUUUAUUCACUCCUGUUUUCUCCAUAGCCCUCCAGCCUACUGUUUCCCGCAUUCUGCAUAAGAGUGACAGUUAUUGUUCGUUGUAUGUAACAAACUUCUGAUGUCCUGUUAAGCUUGAAACUCCUGUGGGACAUCCAGGUGGAGACCCCCAGAAGGAAAUGCAAUAUUGGUGGUCAGGAGAAAGGCUGGAACUGGAACAAAGGACCUGGCAUAUAGGCCAAGGGAUGUGGUGGCCAAAGCCAUGGGCAGAGGAGAGUCCCUAGGGAGAAAAACAAUCUCGUGGAAGGCUUACAUUUAAUAGUGAAGAGAGAAAUGGGAACCAGGAGAGGCUGGAGUGGUCAGAGAGUUAUGAAGUAACCAAGAGGUGAGGCUUUUACAGAGGAGGGGUAGUAAUCAGUUCUACAAGCUUAGGAGUGAAAUAUAAGCAACCAAAGCUAUUAAAAAAAAAAAAACAAAAACCUACAUUGUCUCUCCCUGCUCUUGUCUUCUUUGUUCCCGGUUUGUUUUUCCCUGCACUUACUCUCUUGCCUUUUUGGAUUCCCUUUUAAAUGUCACCUUCACCAAGUUCAGCUGCUUCCACACCUCCCCCUCCCCUGACCCCCUGCACCCAGCACCAUUCCUACUGUAUCUAGCAUAAUAUUUCAGAGGCUACCUAAAGGCAAUAAUUAGACAAACACUCAAAACUGCACAUCCCAGGCUUGUUCAUGAAAGUGAAAAGCUGGAAAACAAACGAUAUCUAUCAAGAAAUUAAAUGGUUUAUAGACAAUCCUGGCUGUCCUGGUAUUUUUGUAGGAAAGAAAUUUCUUUAACGGUCCCCAGCAACAUACCAUAAGAUCUUUAUUCCCAAUACAUUUAUCAAAUUUAGGAUACUUCUGAGCUUCCCCAUUUCUCUGGCCUUGCCUCCUAAAGGUAAUGUUAUUUUGGUAAACAUGUGACCUCUCUUUUAUGAAGCCAUGGAUAUUACACAAUUCCAGACUUCCAGGUUCCUGUUGCCAUAGCUUCUUUAAGAAGCUCUUCUUUCCUUAUGCUCAUACUUACCUAUGGUAGCUUUGAUGUUUCAUUUUCCAUAGUAAGUGAGACUCUGGGCAGAGCACCCAGCACUACUGCUAAGAGGACACAAGGGCCACUUUAGCAGAGACAGACAGCCCAACCCCUGUCCACUGUCAGCAGAAACUCGUCUGUGACAAAAAGUAUAAAUCAAAAUCAUACCAGUGAUGUUUUAGUCUUCAACCUGAAGCAGUUGAAGCUUGGGUGUCGCCUUGGAGUCCUGGUGUAUUUCUAUUGUUGUGAAGUGCUCUCAGUGUUGAAUGGGCACCCGACUGCAACCUCAUGAAGCCCAGAGCUGCAGAAAGAGGGACUGUGGACAUCUG
rnacentral:lncRNA from 10 species